rnacentral:rRNA from 1 species
UACGGGGGGGGGCAAGCGUUGUUCGGAAUUACUGGGCGUAAAGGGCUCGUAGGCGGCCAACUAAGUCGGACGUGAAAUCCCCAGGCUCAACCUGGGAACUGCGUCCGAUACUGGAUGGCUUGAAUUCGGGAGAGGGAUGCAGAAUUCCAGGUGUAGCGGUGAAAUGCGUAGAUAUCUGGAGGAAUACCGGUGGCGAAGGCGGCAUCCUGGACCGACAUUGACGCUGAUGAGCGAAAGCUAGGGGAGCAAACGGG